UACGAAGGGGGCUAGCGUUGCUCGGAAUCACUGGGCGUAAAGGGCGCGUAGGCGGCGUUUUUAAGUCGGGGGUGAAAGCCUGUGGCUCAACCACAGAAUGGCCUUCGAUACUGGGACGCUUGAGUAUGGUAGAGGUUGGUGGAACUGCGAGUGUAGAGGUGAAAUUCGUAGAUAUUCGGAAGACACCAGUGGCGAAGGCGACUCACUGGACACAUAUUGACGCUGAGGUGCGAAAGCGUGGGGAGCAAACAGG
rnacentral:rRNA from 1 species